AGCAGAUAAACCACGAACUCUGCAUCAAGAGAUAGAGAAAACAUAUGUUGCAGGCCCAUUUGCCCGGGCCCAAGAAAGAAACAAAAGAACCCAUACCAGCAGACCCACCAACUCCGCCGUUCACUUGCUGGCCGCCGCACGUCCCAUCGCUGCUCACCUGCUCCACCUGCUCUGCCGCUCCCAUGCCACUUGCACCUGCAAAGAGAAACAAACACGCAACAGUCAAAGAAAAGAAAGGAAAAAGAAAACAAAAAAUAGGAAUUAAUAUUGGCUAUAAAAGCCAUGCAUAUAACUCUUUUUGGGGGCUGGCUGGCAACUUUUGUAACAAAAACAAGAAUAGAUUCAACCGAAAGAAAAUAAAAAAGGCAGAUUCAAGGUCUCUUUCUUUUCAGUUUUGAAGUUUUUUUUUUAUUUAUCUAUUUUACUCUCUUUUUCUCUUCAUAUAUAUAAAAAUAAAGAUAGUAAAAAAGGAGUUAAAACAAAACCUUACCUGCGCCGCACCGGAGGAGAGAAGACGAGCGGUUUCCCCUCGAUCUUCGGGUCUCCGGCUUCUUUUUCGGGGAUUUGGCCUUAGAUCCGUACCCUAGGGACGCUAGGCUUAAAAAGGGGACCGAAAAGGUCCGAUUUUGGACCUCCGGCCACCAUACGCGGCGGCGCUAGGGCGGAGAAUCGCCGGAGGCCCAGUUCGGCCGAUGACCAGCGCCGGGCCUGAAAGAAUGAGAGAGAGACUCUCCCUCUCAGCCCUUUUUUUGCUAAAAAUGAAUCUGAUUUGUUUUUUUUUUGUUUUUUCUAUUAUUUAUAUUCGAAAUGAAACGACGCCGUUUUAGCCAGGGGGAUCCGCGCGUCGACCCGACCCGACCCGAAGGAUCCGCGUGUUUUAGUUUUUUGGGCAAUUUAUGCGCGCAGUCCCUCUGAUUCGCGGCGUGUUUCAAUUCGGUCCUAUUUUGUUGUUUUAUUUUAUUUUGAUUUAGCCCUAACAUUUUAUUUUUGUUUUAUUUUAGUCCAUAGAGGUGCUGCGUUUUGGGAUUGAGGGUUUAAUUACCCUUUCGGUCCCUCCUUUUUACGCCCGCUUGCAAUUAGGUCCCUCCGCCUUCUUUUUAUUUUUAAAUUGGCCCAGAAACUUUAUUUUAUUUCGAUUUAGGUCCCUUUUUAAGCAUUUUUUUUUUUUGCUCAUUUAUUUAUUUAUUAUUAUUAUAUUAUUAUUUAUAUAUAUGUACUUAUAUACUAUAAUAUAUAUGUCUAAAAUUAUUAUGAAUCUAUAUAUUUAUAAACUUUAAUAUCUAUCUAAUAAUAAUAUUAUAUUAUAUAUUCAAUAUUUUUUUUUAUAUCUAUCCUGCUUUUUUUUAUUUAUUUAAUAUCUAUAUAUUUAUAUACAUAUACUACAUAAUAUUUAUACCUACGCAUAUACAAUAUAAUAUACGUGCAUACGAAUAAUUUUAUUUUUAUUUUAUGAGCAUUUCUAUUUCCUUAUUUAUGUAUAUACAUGUAUUUUAUAAUUAUAUAUAUACUUCUUUUUUUGUAUUUAAAUUUAUGUUUUUACCCCGUAUAAUUUGUUUCUAACAUACAUACAUAUAUAUCACCAUUUUAUUCAUUAUUAUAAUUGUCAUUUCAUGUUGAUUUAUUUAUUUAUCUACAUGUUCGUUAUUAUUUGCUUAAAUGUCUUUAUUCUUAUUUGUUUAUUUUUUAUUUUUGUUGACUUUUUAUUAUUUACCAUGCAUAAAAAUGUAAUUUGCUUUCACUAUGAUUUUGUGUUUUAUCUUACUUGAUGUAACAAUUUUUUUUUUUUAAUGGCAUUUCGUGUUUGGAUUCGAGAAAAUCGUGCCCUAACUUACUGGGUUUCGAUUUUCUCGAUGAAUCUAAAUACACGAAUCUUUUCAAAAUCAAGUUUUAAAUGAUCUCGAAUUUUAAAAAAAGGGGUCGCAUCCUAACUUACUGGUUAUGAUCUCAUUUUUAAAUUCGAGAUGGCUAAAAUUUCUUAAAUAAACUUUUUCAUUCGCGUAUCGAGAAUUUGAGAUAUUGUAUUCUAACUUACUGGAUAUGAUUCUCUUUCUCGAAUAACGUGAAAUAUCCCCUUUUUCCUGAAAAUUUUCAACGUUUUAAUACAAGGAUCGUAUUUUUAAAAUUCUUCAAGGUUCUCAAUUUUUGACAUUAAGACAUUAAGUAAUCAACUAGGUACCAAUUUUGGGCGUAUCGAGGGUGCUAAUCCUUCCUCGUGCGUAACCGACUCCCGAACCCGUUUUUCUGAAUUUCGUGGACCAAACUUGUUGUUUUAAUAAAAUCAAACCGUUUAUUAAAAACAACUCCUCUUCGAGGUGAUCCAAUCGCACCUCAUAAAAAAGAGGAUUGGUGGCGACUCCCGUUUCUUUUUUCAAAACCCAAGUCAACCCCGUUUUUCAUCCAAAAAAUGGUGUCAACAGCUUGGCGACUCCGCUGGGGACAUGUUAAGAGAGUCAAGCCACGUGUUGAUUAUUUCUUGUCUUUUUGUCGAAAGUUGAAAAUUCGAUUGAAAUUUACGAUCCUCUCAUUGCAUCUCUAUUGUUUUGAGUUAUAUUUUUAUCGUGUUCUGUAUUUUAUUUUAUACCUCUGCGCAUUGCAUUGCAUGACCGUUGGUCACACCUUUUUAAGUGAGAGUGAGAAGCUACGCCUUCGUGAGGUUUUCACCUCCGCAUGGGAUAGUGAAUCGCUUUCGGGAUAUAUCUGUACCUAUGUCUUCGUGAGAUUUUCAUCUCCGCAUGGCCAUAGGGAAAUGUAUCCCCCUGAAUCGAACUUGGUCCGUAUGAGCCUAUAAUGGGUGAGGAUCGAGGAAUUUGCUGGUUCAGGUACCCUACUUUAGAACCAAACCACAUGUAAUGAGCCAUAGGAACCGACCUAGGUAGAGUUACUCUAAAUUUUUAGUGCUUACCUAAAUGAAUGUUGUAUUUAUUUAUCGUUUAUUUUAAAUCUUAUUCUGUGUUUAAUGCUAAUUUACUUUGUUUGUGAUUGCAUGGCAUCUUCAUUCUAAAAGAGGUGUUGAUUUACGUUCAGUUUCUUGGUAGAAAGCUUAUCAUGGAAAAGGGGUUUGUUGAUAAAGUAGAGGAUAAUGCGGCUGUGCGAAUAUGGGCUGAAACUACGCAACGGGAGAAAGGCGAUAGUCUUACCGAAGGGUACGUGUCAGAAUUGUGGGAUUUUACCCGUAUCAGUGUAAUCCAGAAUGACCUUCGAGAAAUGAAAGAAGUCUGGGAUCAAUGGGAUGUCGAGGCCAAGGAGCUGUUCUAUUGUAACUAUGGUGACCUACCUUAUCUGCUUAGUGUCAAAGUGGACAAGUAUUUAUUCCGAGCCCUUGCUCAGUUUUGGAAUCCUGCCUACAGUUGUUUCACUUUUGGGAAGGUAGAUUUGACGCCUACUGUAGAGGAGUAUACGACCUUACUUCGGUGCCCAAAGAUUCAAGUCGACAAGGCUUAUUCCAGAGCUGCUUGUGUCCCUCCGUUGUUAAAGAAAUUAAUGAACAUCACUGGGAUGAGCGAGCAGUGGGUCGCUGCCCGGAUCCAACAGAAGGGCGACAGUAAAUGUGUUCCUUGGAAAAGUUUACGAGAUUUGGUGCUUGUACAUCCUGACUUAAAGAAAAGGGUCGAUGUCUUCGCUUUAGGUAUCUAUGGACUAGUGGUUUUCCCCAAAGCUUUAGGACACAUAGACGAGGCUGUAUCUGAUUUGUUCGAUCGGCUGGGUAAAGGGGUUACACCGGUUCCGGCAAUACUCGCUGAAACUUUUAGAUCUUUGAAUGCGUGUCGAAAAGCAGGGGAGGGAAGGUUUAUUGGAUGCGCGCAGCUCUUAUUGGCAUGGUUCCAUAGCCACUUCUGGAAAGUCGAAAAGGUCUCUUACCGGGUAUUCUCCGAUAGCUACUCCCCUCUAGGAGAAUUGGUGGCCACGCCAAGACGGGAUGAUAUUUCAGAAGAAAAAUGGAUAGAGAUACUCCAGAAUCUCCAAGAUGAAGAUAUUGAAUGGAGGGCUCCUUGGUUAAUUCCUGAUGAGAUAUUGUACCGAUGUGGAGAUUUUGACUGGGUUCCGUUGCUCGGAAUAUGGGGGGCUAUUGGAUAUGCUCCUCUACUCGUGUCAAGACAGUAUAGAUCACGACAAUUCAUACCAGCAACCCAGGGGUUGGCUUAUAGUGAUUUUUCCUAUAGGGAGGACAAUUACAAGAAGAAGGUUCGAGAAAUAUCUAGUGCCUGGAACCAGACGCGUCGAAUGAAGAUCUUAGCUGUGGGUCCGACAAUUACCCCCGAGUAUGGACAGUGGCGUAAUCAAAGGAUCAACGACAACAUCUCGGCGUCAAAUUCAGAAACGGCUCGAUCUUUAGAGGAACACUUACAAGUCUUGCCUUCUGAGAUAGAAAUCAUCAAACAAGAAUUCGAAAAAAGAAGUUUAGAAUUGGGGAAGAAGAUAGAACAACUUGAGGAAGAAAAAAUGCAGUUAGGACUGGAUGUGGACAUUCAAAGAUUAGAGGCCAACAAAUUGAGGAAAGGAAAGAACAAGGCAGAAGAAGAUUUGGACAGCCUGAAGACAGAUUACAAGAAGUUGCGUAAGUCAGUAAGAGCCGCUGGCUUGGGAAAAACACCAGAACAAUGGCGACAAGAAAUUCAGGAGGAAAAGACGAAAGCUAAUCAAUGGGAAAAGAAAUUUCAGGAUGCUCGGGCUCGAGAAGCCGCCUUGGGAAAGAGUCUACUAGUUUGCCAAGACGAGAAGACGGAGUUGAAGGUCCGGAUAACAGAACUGGAAAGAUCGCUUCGCCAGUACUGUAAUCGUAAUGCUACGGUUGAAUUAAGGGCGAGCUUAGACAAAAUUGAAGAAUUAAAAACACAGAUAGGAGGGCUAGAGAAUGCAUUGCAAAAUAGUGAAAUCCGGAUAGAGCUUCUAGAAGAAAGUAAUGAGCAGUGGCAAGGACAAUUCCGUCAGUCUCAAGAGCAGAUUGGAGAAAGAGAUUAUAUUAUGGGAGAGGCGGUGACUCAGGUGCGCGAAGUGGCUGAUCAUCUGCAAACUCUAGCGGUUCAGGCUGAUCUAUUAAGUUUGAAGUAUGAGUCAGAGUCGGACAGGGGCCGAGAAUUAGCUUGGCUUCUUAGAAAGGUUAAGGCUUUGAGUGUGAGGGCAAAGCCAUAUAUGUAGUCUAUUUUAUGUAAAGAAACUCUUUAUCUAGUAAAGUUUUCUAAUGAAGUUGAAUUAAAAUCAGUGCCUCUUUUUCUUUGCAUUCUCUUUCAUGCAUUGCAUCACAUCAUAUGCAUUAAUGACCAUUAAAAAAAAACCUAAUCGAAUAAAAUCAUUUCAGUUAACCUGGAAAACCAACAAAGUUACGGCACCCGAGCAAAGACAAAAAUUAUGGACCAAAGGUUAGAGAAGCUAGAGCGACUUCAAAGAGAAAUGCAAGACCAGUUGCAGGCGCAAAUGAAAGAGCAAAUAGAAAAGAUUCAGCGUGACAUGGUACAAAAGAUGGAGGAGUCCCAAAAUGAUCUGGUGGCUAAGAUGACGCAAUUAUUGAAGGGAGUAGAUAAGGGUAAAGGGCCUGUGAUUGUUAGUGAAGAAGAAAACAAUGGUGAACCACUCUAUCCUCCAGGUUUCACGCCUCCACAUGUACAGACUGAGCUGCAUUCGCGGAGACCCUCCGUGUCGGUUAGACCCCAGCAGUUCCAAGGCGAUGCUUCAAUCCCAAUGAAUUUUCAACCCGGAGCGGGCUUUAAUCCCGGUGAUAGCCCGAAUAAUAUUGCGGUCCCAGAUCUUGACGAGAUGGUUGAAAAGGACAAGGCGAAGGAGGAAUUUCCAAAACAAUUUGAGGAGAAAUGGAAAUGGAUAGAAGAGAAGUUUAGGGCAAUAGAAAGCAUCGAAAGCUAUGGAACAGAUGCAAAGGAUCUGAGCUUGGUUCCGGACUUGGUGCUCCCUUACAAAUUUAAGAUGCCGGAAUUCGAGAAAUACAACGGGACUAGUUGCCCAGGAUCCCAUAUUACUAUGUUUUGUAGAAGAAUGACGGGGCAUAUUAAUAAUGAUCAAUUAUUAAUACAUUGCUUUCAGGAAAGUCUUACGGGAGCGGCGUCAAAGUGGUACAAUCAGCUGAGCCGAGCUAAAAUUGCUACUUGGAGGGAUUUAGCACAGGCUUUCUUGAGACAAUACAAUCAUGUCUCAGAAAUGAUGCCUGACAGGAUAACUCUGCAAAAUUUAGAGAAGAAAUCAAACGAAAGCUUCAGACAAUAUGCGCAGAGGUGGCGAGAGGUGGCGGUUCAGGUGCAACCACCGCUUUUGGAAAAAGAGAUGACGACGCUUUUUAUUAAUACUUUGAAAGCCCCGUUCAUCACUCACAUGUUGGGAAGCGCUUCAAGAAAUUUCUCAGAUAUAAUCAUGAAUGGUGAAAUGAUUGAGCAUGCCAUUAAAAGUGGAAAAAUAGAUGGAGGAGAAAAUAAUAGGAGGGCACCCCCGAGGAAAAGAGAAAAUGAAGUGAAUAAUGUGAAUGCUUAUGGUAGGUCAAUUACCGUGAAUCAACCAAAGAAAGUGGUUGCUAAUCAACAAGGAUCAUCAAGACAAGAGUCAGGAGCUAGGCAAACUACUGAAAAGCCCCAAUUCACGCCAAUCCCGAUGUCAUACAAGGAGUUGUAUCAGACUUUAUUCGACGCACAUGUUGUUGCUCCUCGUUACCUGAGUCCUCUACAACCCCCGUAUCCAAAAUGGUACGAUACGAACGCGCAAUGUGAUUAUCAUGCGGGAAUUUCUGGGCACUCGAUAGAAAAUUGUACUGCCUUCAAGAAGGUAGUAGAAGGACUUAUCAAUUUAGGUGUUGUCAAACUUGACGACUCACCUAACGCAAAGAAUCCGUUACCUAAUCACGCAGAUAAGGGGGUGAAUAUGGUUAGCGAAGGUACGGGAGAAGAAGUCAAGACUGACAUUGCUGAAGUAAAAACUCCAUUGAAAUGGGUCUGGAAAGAAAUGGCGAAAAGAGGUUUGAUUAUUUCAGAUUCUGAGAAAGGGCAUGAGAUGGGAAAUUAUUGUGAAUUUCACCAUGAAACAGGGCAUGAAAUCCAAGAAUGUGAAGGAUUCAAGGCCUUGGUUCAAAGCAUGAUGGAUAACAAGGAGAUGAGGUUUUAUGAAGACGUGAAAGAAAUGAGGAGCAUAUGCGCGACAGAGUUGGGAACGAAGGCUCCAAAAAUAAAUCAUCCCGUGGUCAUUAUCUCCCGCCCUAAGGGUAAUGAGGUUAAGGCUCAGGUAACGCCGAAAAUUGUAAUCCAGAAACCAUCAAAUUUCUCUUAUAAAGAUAACAAAAUGGUGCCGUGGAAUUACGGGUGUAAUGUGACCAUUUUGGGAAAAGAAGCAGAAAGAAAUCAGGAAACAGUUUUUUACACGCGCAAGGGAAAAAGAUAUGACGCUCAAGCAGAGUCGUCCAGGGAAGAGAAUUGGAAGAAAGAACAAAGGAAAGGGAAGGCAGUAGAAGUUGAACCAUUGGUAAAUGAACCAAUAAAAGAAGAAGAGGCAAAGGAGUUUUUGAAGUUUUUGAAACACAGCGAAUACAGUGUUGUGGAGCAACUGCACAAACAGCCAGCCCGCAUUUCGGUAUUAGCUUUACUCUUAAACUCAGAAGUACAUCGGAAUGCACUCUUAAAGGUGCUAAACGAAACAUAUGUGGCUGACGAUAUUUCAGUAAACAAGUUGGAUCGGUUGAUCAACAAUAUUGGUGCUGACAAUUUUAUCUUCUUCAAUGAGGAUGAAAUACCAUCCGGAGGAAGAGGUUCUACUAAAGCCCUCCACGUUACUGUCCGAUGCAAAGGGUACACACUCCCGGGGGCCUUGGUCGAUAAUGGAUCUGCGCUAAAUGUAUUGCCUUUGUCCACUCUUAGUCGAUUACCAAUAGACAGUUCGCACAUGAAAGCAUGCCAGAGCAUAGUAAGGGCAUUUGAUGGAACAAAGAAGGAGGUUAUGGGGAGAAUUGAAGUACCAUUAAGGAUUGGCCCAGUCACUUAUGAGGUGGAUUUCUUGGUAAUGGAUAUUAAACCCUCCUACAACUGUCUAUUGGGGAGACCGUGGAUACACUCAGCAGGGGCGGUACCUUCAUCAUUACAUCAGAAGGUGAAGUUGGUAUCGGAGGAUCGGUUGGUAACAAUAGAUGCAGAGGAGGAUAUUAUCGCAAUGAUGACUAGCGAGACACCUUAUGUGGACAUCAACGAUGAGGCGCUGGAAUGUUCUUUUCGGUCGUUAGAAUUUGUGAACGCGAUGUUUAUUGCGGAGGGAAAUAGGAUUCCAGUACCGAAAAUGUCCAGGACCACUGAGAUGGGAUUGCGAUUGAUGGUAGGAAGAGGAGCCUUACCCGGGAAAGGAUUGGGAAAAUAUCUUCAGGGGAGGAUUGAGGCACCAAUGCCGAGGGAAAAGUUUGAUAGAUUUGGUUUAGGGUACAAGCCAGACAUGAAGCAGAAGAAGAAGGAAGUAGAGAAGAGACAAGCGAGAAGAAGGGCGCGUUUGAAUGGACAUGAAGCUAAGUGUGAGCCUUUAACCUUUCCCCACAUAUCUUCAUCUUUUGUGUCGGGAGGAUUUAUUCAUUCUGAAUGUGGGGUAUCCGGUAGCGGCAUGGGAGGAAUGUUGGAAAACGUUUAUAUUAACACCAUAGAAGCAACGGAAAGGAGGGCUUUGUUGGAGAUCCGCCCUUAUGAGCCUGGAAGCGAGCUAAACAAUUGGACUGCUGAAGAAAUCCCUGUAGUCUUUAGGGCUUAUUCAGAGUAAUGCUCAAAACAUUCCUGUUGUUUGUUGGCCUAGAAACGAUACGAAAUUUUUUGUGAAAUAGGCAUUGGGCCUAAAUAUCAUUAUUUUAAUAAAAUACGUGUCUACGUUCAUCUCGAUCAGUCAUUUUUUUUUCCUUUCAUAUUUUUCAUUUGGUUGAUUGUCUUACAAAUAAUUCUUUCAUUUGUGAUUCUUUUGCAAACACAUUCAUAAAUUUAUAUUCUUGGUAUAUUAUUUGAUCUGCCCACAUAGGUCUUCAGAUAUCAAUGACAUGAGUGAUGCUGUCUCAAACGCGGAGCCUAUUUUUGAGCAAGAAGUGUGUUCAGAGGGAUCCCACGACUUUGAAAAUGACGAAGAUUAUGAUGCAUCUCCGGACUUGUUAAGAAUGAUGGAACAAGAGGAUAAGCAUAUCCUACCUCAUAGGGAAUCGUUAGAAAUAGUGAGCCUAGAGGAUGGAAAGGAGGUGAAAAUUGGAACUGAAAUUACCGCAAAGACAAGGCAAGACCUCAUCAAUUUGCUCCGAGAGUUCAAGGAUGUUUUCGCGUGGUCGUACCAAGAUAUGCCUGGGCUAAAUACUAACAUUGUGGUACAUCGUCUGCCCAUAAAGGAGGAUUGUAAACCCGUUCAACAGAAACUUAGGAGAAUGAGACCUGACAUUGUGUUGAAAAUAAGAGAGGAAGUCAAAAGACAAUUCGACGCUGGUUUCUUACAAGAGGUCAAGUAUUCGGAUUGGGUAGCCAACAUCGUCCCUGUUCCCAAAAAAGAUGGAAAGGUACGAAUGUGUGUGGAUUAUAGGGAUUUAAACAAGGCUAGUCCAAAGGACAACUUUCCACUACCUCACAUUGAUACUUUGGUAGAUAACACGGCGGGCUAUUCAUUGUUUUCUUUCAUGGACGGUUUCUCUGGAUACAAUCAAAUAAAGAUGCAUCCCGGAGACAUGAGGAAAACCACAUUCAUUACCUUAUGGGGAACAUUCUGUUACAAGGUAAUGCCCUUCGGAUUGAAGAAUGCGGGAGCAACGUAUCAAAGAGCUAUGGUGACUUUGUUUCACGACAUGAUGCACAAGGAGAUCGAAGUAUAUGUUGACGAUAUGAUCGCGAAGUCUAGAACGGAAGAAGAGCAUGUUCAGGUCUUGAAAAGGUUAUUUUUGAGAUUAAAGAAAUUUCAGCUCAAGCUUAACCCGGCCAAAUGCACGUUCGGAGCCAGAUCAGGGAAGUUAUUAGGCUUCAUAGUUAGCAAAAAGGGGAUCGAGGUUGACCCAGACAAAGUAAAGGCAAUACGAGAUUUACCUCCCCCGCGCACUCAGAAGGAGGUUCGAGGUUUCCUAGGGAGGCUGAAUUACAUUGCUCGGUUCAUCUCACAACUGACAGAGAAAUGUGAUCCAGUAUUCCGGCUCUUAAAGAAACAUAAUCCGGGCAAUUGGGAUGAAGAGUGUCAGAGGGCUUUCGAUAAAAUAAAGCAGUACUUGGCUAAUACUCCAGUCUUAUCACCUCCAAGUCCAGAUAGGCCAUUGAUAUUGUAUCUAACAGUGUUGGAGAAUUCCAUGGGAUGUGUAUUGGGCCAACAUGAUGAGACGGGAAAGAAAGAAAGGGCUAUAUACUAUCUCAGUAAGAAAUUUACCGAUUGCGAAAUGAGGUACUCAUCAAUUGAGAAGUUGUGUUGUGCUCUAAUCUGGGCAACCCGAAGACUGAGGCAGUAUAUGUUGUAUCACACGACUUGGCUGAUUUCAAAGUUAGAUCCUUUAAAAUAUAUGAUGGAAUCGACCGCUUUGAACGGGAGAAUGGCUAGAUGGCAGAUCUUGCUCUCAGAAUUUGAUAUAGUAUAUGUCAGUCAGAAGGCCAUAAAGGGAAGUGCAAUAGCCGAUUUCCUAGCUAGUAGAGCCUUGGAGGACUAUGAAUCUUUGAAUUUUGAUUUUCCAAACGAGGACUUGAUGUAUGUGGCGAAUACUGAAGAAAAUCCUCAAAUGGAUCACGUAUGGAAGUUAAAUUUUGAUGGAGCUUCGAAUGCUACGGGUAAUGGAGUUGGGGCAGUUUUGGUAUCCCCGAGUGGAGAUCAUUAUCCUGUUGCCAGUAAGUUGGACUUCGAUUGUACAAAUAAUAUGGCAGAAUAUGAAGCAUGUAUUAUGGGCAUUCGUGCAGCCAUUGAACGGAACAUCAAAGUACUGAGAGUAUACGGGGAUUCAGCGUUGGUGAUAUACCAACUCAAAGGGGAGUGGGAGACUAGAGAUCCUAAGCUAAUUGGUUAUAGAAAACUAGUUCUUGAAUUGGCUGAGGAGUUUGACGAUAUCACCUUCUAUUACCUCCCACGGGAGGAAAACCAAAUGACUGAUGCAUUAGCUACUCUAGCUUCGAUGAUUCAGGUGAAUAGACUUGAGGCAAUGAGGCCUGUUCAGAUGAGUAUCUCUGAGACCCCGGCUAAUUGUUGCAAUAUUGAGGAGGAGGGAAAAGAUGAUUGUCCUUGGUAUCGGAGUAUCUUACAAUAUGUGAAGAAUCGGGAAUACCCUGAUCAAGCGACAGAGAAUGACAAAAGAACUCUGAGAAAGAUAGCCAUUGAAUAUGUCUUAGAUGGAGAAGUGUUAUACAAAAGAAGGAAGGAUCAAGUACUGUUAAGAUGUGUAGAUGCGGUAGAAGCCAAGAAAAUUUUGGAAGAAGUCCAUGAGGGUAUUUGUGGGACGCACGCCAGUGGUUUCACGAUGGCCAAACAGAUCAUGAGAUUUGGGUACUAUUGGCCCACCAUGGAAGGAGAUUGCAUUGAUCAUGCCAGGAAGUGCCACAAAUGCCAAAUUUACGGAGACAAAAUACACGCGCCUCCUUCACCUCUUCACGUCAUGACCUCUCCUUGGCCGUUUUCCAUGUGGGGUAUGGAUGUUAUUGGGCCAAUAUCACCAAAGGCUUCUAAUGGGCAUCGCUUCAUCUUCGUAGUAAUUGAUUACUUUACCAAGUGGGUGGAGGCUGCUUCAUAUGCAAAUGUCACAAAAGCAGUAGUCAGCAAAUUCUUGAAGAAGGAGAUCAUUUGUCGAUAUGGGAUGCCUGAGAGGAUCAUAUCCGACAACGCGAUGAACUUGAAUAAUAGCACAAUAGCUGAAGUUUGUAGCAAAUUUAAAAUUAAGCAUCAUAACUCAUCGCCGUAUCGUCCCAAAAUGAAUGGUGCAGUGGAGGCGGCCAAUAAAAACAUUAAAAGGAUUGUGGGGAAAAUGACUGAAACCUACAAGGAUUGGCAUGAGAAGUUAUCAUUUGCUCUCCUUGCCUAUCGAACAUCUGUUAGAACUUCUACUGGGGCAACGCCUUUUUCUCUGGUUUAUGGAAUGGAGGCAGUAUUACCCAUUGAAGUUGAAAUCCCUUCUCUACGGGUGUUAUCUGAGCUACAGUUGGAUGAAGCCGAUUGGAUCCAAUCUCGGUACGAUCAGUUGAACCUAAUAGAAGAAAAGAGGCUAAGAGCUAUUCACCAUGGGCAAAUGUACCAAAAACGAAUGAUGCGAGCUUAUAAUAAAAAGGUUUGCCCCCGAGAAUUUCGUGAAGGGGACUUGGUACUAAAAAAGAUUCUUCCUAUGCAAAAAGAUUUUAGAGGAAAAUGGAUGCCAAAUUGGGAAGGCCCUUAUGUUGUAAAGAAGGCCUUUUCCGGUGGAGCUUUGAUCCUAUGCGAGAUGGAUGGCAAAAGUUUACCAAAUCCUGUAAACGCAGACUCGGUCAAGAAGUACUUCACUUGAAAGAAAGGGGAACCAAAGUGAAAACCCGUAAAGGGCGCUUUGCUUCCUAAAAAAAAAAAAAAAAAAAAAAAAAAAAAAAAAAAAAACUUUGGAGAGGCUAAGGUGAAAACCCGUAAAGGGCACUUUGAGACCAAAGAGGGCUUGAGUCGAAAACCCGAAAAGGGCGACUCGAGUAUUGGGCAGGAUUGGAACAUCAGGACUUGAGCGGAUCAAAUUUUGAUCGGGGGAAUAUGAUGAUCUUCCUUUACUUGAACCAAUAAGAAAGGAUAUGCAACGUCUUUGAACAUUGACAGAGUAUUGCAGAUCUCCUGAACACAUGUCAAACUUAGAAGGGUCUUCGGAAAGUUUGUACAGAGAAACUCAAGCAGCGAUAGCUGGGGCACCUAGUUCUUAUGUGUAUUCUUGAAAAUACAUUUUCUUUCUUUCUCCCUUUCCUUUUGUGAAAACGCACAUUCUCAACCCACUUCUUUGUUACCUUUUCUUUCGCCAUCUUUGAUAUUUUAUUUGAGUUAUGAUCAGAACUAGCUUUAUUCUUAUCCAUUGUUAUGAUCUUUUUGCAAACAUGUUGCAUAGGAAUAUUGAUUAACGAACUAAUAAAACUUUCAGGAAAGAAGUUUUGCAUAUUACUCUGAAAAGUUCUAAAUAAUAUAGAAACCUGAAACAGGACUAUUGUUUAGAAAACACCAAGUUUAAAGGGUGAAGUAUCUAAGAUGGAAGAGUCUAAGCUAAAGACUAUCCUUUCAGAUUUUGUUGUCUAAAACAUUGAUUGAACAAAAUGACAAGUUGUCGUGUUAAUUACAAAGCUUAAAUGAACAAGCGAGCAAUGAUCAUCAGGCAAUAGGAAGAGGUUACCUCGGAGAAGAGAGCCUUCACUUACGCAUAAGACUUUGGUACGACACCUUGAGAAUGGUGUAGGAAACCAGAACGGUUCAGAUCCUAUAUCCCCAAAUUGUGAUAAAAGAGGACAGAGGAAAGGCCACAUAUUUCCACCUUUAGAUUACUGUGAGAGAAUGAUGGUACAAAUUUUGGCGUCCCGGUGGAUAUAACUUUGAGGUUUACAAGGGGGACAGUCUGGCUAAAUGUUUCUUCAGAAAAAUCAGUCAAGCGAGAAGGCGUUGUAGCACAUCAGUCACAAAACCUUGAUAAACUUCGAGUAGUGAUAACCUAAGCGAGAUCAUUCUCGGAAAAAUAAAAUUCUGCAUUCAUGCAAACACCAUUCACAUAUGUCUAGUUAGGAGCAUUUGUUUCAUUUUGAUCAUGUCAUCCUAAUCAUUAGGCAUAAUUAGGUUCAUAAUACAGGACUUAUCUCCCUGAGAUUACAGUGGAAUAGACCAAAGAAUUUCAGAUCUUAUCUCCCUGAGAUUACAGCGGAGCAGAUCAAAGAUAGUAAUCCUAUCUCCCUGAAGUUACAGUGGAGCGGAUUAAAAUAAAGGAUCUUAUCUCUCUGAAGUUACAGUAGAGUAGAUCGCAUCAGGUCUUAUCUCCCUGAGAUUACAGUGGAACAGACCGAAGAAUUGCAGAUCUUGUCUCCCUGAGGUUACAGCGGAGCAGAUCGAAGAUAUAAUCCUAUCUCCCUGAAGUUACAGUGGAGCGGAUUAAAAUAAAGGAUCUUAUCUCUCUGAAGUUACAGUAGAGUAGAUCGCAUCAGGUCUUAUCUCUCUGAGGUUACAGUGGAGUAGACCGAAGAAUUGCAGAUCUUAUCCCCCUGAAGUUACAGUGGAGCAGAUUGAAGCCAGAGACCUUAUCUCCCCGAGAUUACAGCGGAGCAGAUCGAAGACACUAUCCUAUCUCCCUGAAGUUACAGUGGAGUGGGUUAAAAUAAAGGAUCUUAUCUCUCUGAGGUUACAGCAGAGUAGGUCGCAUCAAGUCUUAUUUCCCUGAAGAUGCGGUGGAAUAGAUUGAAAACCACAAACCUCGUCCCCCUGAAGUUGCUACGAAGAAGAUAAAGGCUACAGGACGCAUCUCUCUAAAAUGCAGUGGAAUGGAUCGAAGCAACAAGACCUAGUGGACUGGAAUGAAACUACUUGAAAUGGAGAAGUACCAGAACAAGUCAAGACUCGGCAAGACCGGGCAAAAUGGGCCUUUCUUAGUCUUUGCUCUGUUAUCGUUACACGACAACGAGCAAAGAGGGGCAGCUGUUGCAGGCCCAUUUGCCCGGGCCCAAGAAAGAAACAAAAGAACCCAUACCAGCAGACCCACCAACUCCGCCGUUCACUUGCUGGCCGCCGCACGUCCCAUCGCUGCUCACCUGCUCCACCUGCUCUGCCGCUCCCAUGCCACUUGCACCUGCAAAGAGAAACAAACACGCAACAGUCAAAGAAAAGAAAGGAAAAAGAAAACAAAAAAUAGGAAUUAAUAUUGGCUAUAAAAGCCAUGCAUAUAACUCUUUUUGGGGGCUGGCUGGCAACUUUUGUAACAAAAACAAGAAUAGAUUCAACCGAAAGAAAAUAAAAAAGGCAGAUUCAAGGUCUCUUUCUUUUCAGUUUUGAAGUUUUUUUUUAUUUAUCUAUUUUACUCUCUUUUUCUCUUCAUAUAUAUAAAAAUAAAGAUAGUAAAAAAGGAGUUAAAACAAAACCUUACCUGCGCCGCACCGGAGGAGAGAAGACGAGCGGUUUCCCCUCGAUCUUCGGGUCUCCGGCUUCUUUUUCGGGGAUUUGGCCUUAGAUCCGUACCCUAGGGACGCUAGGCUUAAAAAGGGGACCGAAAAGGUCCGAUUUUGGACCUCCGGCCACCAUACGCGGCGGCGCUAGGGCGGAGAAUCGCCGGAGGCCCAGUUCGGCCGAUGACCAGCGCCGGGCCUGAAAGAAUGAGAGAGAGACUCUCCCUCUCAGCCCUUUUUUUGCUAAAAAUGAAUCUGAUUUGUUUUUUUUUUGUUUUUUCUAUUAUUUAUAUUCGAAAUGAAACGACGCCGUUUUAGCCAGGGGGAUCCGCGCGUCGACCCGACCCGACCCGAAGGAUCCGCGUGUUUUAGUUUUUUGGGCAAUUUAUGCGCGCAGUCCCUCUGAUUCGCGGCGUGUUUCAAUUCGGUCCUAUUUUGUUGUUUUAUUUUAUUUUGAUUUAGCCCUAACAUUUUAUUUUUGUUUUAUUUUAGUCCAUAGAGGUGCUGCGUUUUGGGAUUGAGGGUUUAAUUACCCUUUCGGUCCCUCCUUUUUACGCCCGCUUGCAAUUAGGUCCCUCCGCCUUCUUUUUAUUUUUAAAUUGGCCCAGAAACUUUAUUUUAUUUCGAUUUAGGUCCCUUUUUAAGCAUUUUUUUUUUUUGCUCAUUUAUUUAUUUAUUAUUAUUAUAUUAUUAUUUAUAUAUAUGUACUUAUAUACUAUAAUAUAUAUGUCUAAAAUUAUUAUGAAUCUAUAUAUUUAUAAACUUUAAUAUCUAUCUAAUAAUAAUAUUAUAUUAUAUAUUCAAUAUUUUUUUUUAUAUCUAUCCUGCUUUUUUUUUAUUUAUUUAAUAUCUAUAUAUUUAUAUACAUAUACUACAUAAUAUUUAUACCUACGCAUAUACAAUAUAAUAUACGUGCAUACGAAUAAUUUUAUUUUUAUUUUAUGAGCAUUUCUAUUUCCUUAUUUAUGUAUAUACAUGUAUUUUAUAAUUAUAUAUAUACUUCUUUUUUUGUAUUUAAAUUUAUGUUUUUACCCCGUAUAAUUUGUUUCUAACAUACAUACAUAUAUAUCACCAUUUUAUUCAUUAUUAUAAUUGUCAUUUCAUGUUGAUUUAUUUAUUUAUCUACAUGUUCGUUAUUAUUUGCUUAAAUGUCUUUAUUCUUAUUUGUUUAUUUUUUAUUUUUGUUGACUUUUUAUUAUUUACCAUGCAUAAAAAUGUAAUUUGCUUUCACUAUGAUUUUGUGUUUUAUCUUACUUGAUGUAACAAUUUUUUUUUUUAAUGGCAUUUCGUGUUUGGAUUCGAGAAAAUCGUGCCCUAACUUACUGGGUUUCGAUUUUCUCGAUGAAUCUAAAUACACGAAUCUUUUCAAAAUCAAGUUUUAAAUGAUCUCGAAUUUUAAAAAAAGGGGUCGCAUCCUAACUUACUGGUUAUGAUCUCAUUUUUAAAUUCGAGAUGGCUAAAAUUUCUUAAAUAAACUUUUUCAUUCGCGUAUCGAGAAUUUGAGAUAUUGUAUUCUAACUUACUGGAUAUGAUUCUCUUUCUCGAAUAACGUGAAAUAUCCCCUUUUUCCUGAAAAUUUUCAACGUUUUAAUACAAGGAUCGUAUUUUUAAAAUUCUUCAAGGUUCUCAAUUUUUGACAUUAAGACAUUAAGUAAUCAACUAGGUACCAAUUUUGGGCGUAUCGAGGGUGCUAAUCCUUCCUCGUGCGUAACCGACUCCCGAACCCGUUUUUCUGAAUUUCGUGGACCAAACUUGUUGUUUUAAUAAAAUCAAACCGUUUAUUAAAAACAACUCCUCUUCGAGGUGAUCCAAUCGCACCUCAUAAAAAAGAGGAUUGGUGGCGACUCCCGUUUCUUUUUUCAAAACCCAAGUCAACCCCGUUUUUCAUCCAAAAAAUGGUGUCAACAACAUAUAAGAGUAAAUUUUGCAAUAUGAAAAGAAACUUGCUUGCAGCAAAAACAAAAACAUGUAAAAUAAAUAAAUCUUGAAUAUACUUGUAGUAUCUCCUACUUUAAUAGUAAUUGAUGAAGUUCACGAGCAAAUAUAAAAUAGGGUAAACAACAGAAAUUAUCACUAAAGUAUUGCCCAUGAUCUUGGUCACUAAAUUUUAUUUUUUUUGUCGCCAUCUAAUAUUUACAUAUUCUAUCAAUUUGAUCCUAAAUAUAUAAAUUCAACAAAUUUAACCCUCAAUGUUACAUAAUUUGUCAUUUUAGUUCUAAUUUUUAAAAAUUCAAUAAAUUUAGUCCUCAACAUUUACAAAAUAACAAAUUUUGAUUUUUAAAAUUCAUUAAAUUUUAAUUCAAACAAUAACUUGAUGAUCGCCAGCUACAAACCACAUACAACAAAAUCAUACAACUCUGCUUAUUUGUUUUAUUUUGGUAAUGCAGUCUUCUUCUCUAACUGAACCCCUCCUAUGCCAGCUUACCAAGUUAUUGAUACAAACAUCUUGUUUUUCAAUAGUUUCAGUUGUUGCAGGGUCCAUUCACCCGAAAUCUCAGAUUUUGCUGCAGACUUUGCAUCCAUGGUUAUUUCAAGUUGAAACCUUGCUCCCCUUUGGUGGUGUAUUGCUAAACUUCCAAUUGAAUUGACUUGAAUUAUUAGGCAUUAGAUUACUUGCUACCUCAUUUAUCGGAACCUCAUCCAAAAUUUCUUUCAAAUAUUCUGCGGUGAGCUUUACUUUUAGUUAAUCAAUGUUACUAUCCAGAUUUUUUACCUUGGUUGUUCUUGUGAAGAAAAUGAAAGAAAGGGUCAAAACUUUUAAAAAAAUACAGAAACUUAAAAACUAAAAUUCGUCAUUUUAUAAAUGUUGAGGGCUAAAUUUAUUGACUUUUUAGAGUUUGAACAAAAAUAACAAAUUUUAUAAACAUUGAGAGCUAAAUUUGUUAAUUUUUUAUAUUUAAAAUCAAAUUAAUAGAAUAUAUAAAAUUAAAAAACUAAAUUUAUUAUAAUAUCAAUAAAAAAAUUCAUCACAACAUUUCACCAAAAUCAAAUUUCAAACUGAUAUUAACGUUUAAAAAAAUAAUUUUAAAUAACUUAAUGACUAAAAUAAAAAAAAUUAAAAAUUUAAUGACC
rnacentral:lncRNA from 1 species